UUAAGUAGGAGUAGAAAAGGGAAGCCAAACUUUUUUCUCCUUUUUGCAAGCUGCUAGGAACUGGCAAAUCCGGCCGGUACAGUGGGGGGUGCAAAAGCGGGCAAAGCGGCGGAAAAGGCGCCCUCGGGACCCCCUAGGAAAAAGCCUCGCCUUGUCAAGCAGCCUCUUAUAUUGGCUGGAAAGAUCUCUUAUAGUGACCUCUACCUCAAGAGAAAAAGAGAGCACAGAUACCAUAGAUUAUUACCUUCUCUGAGGCACCAGGAUGAACAUCUACAUCAGUCAAGUGCCAAUUAACCAGGUUGAGCCAGCAGAACCCAAUAGGCCCCCACUGUGGGUCAGCUGUCAUGACAAUGGUUUUAAGGGCCUUAAACAAAUGGGAGUGCUGGCAGCAAAUGUAUACAUACUGCCUCCUGAAUAACAUUGCUGGAUAACAUGAAGUACGCUGUCACUGCCAGACCUCCAACUGCAGUUCCAAUGGGUGAUAUCCAGUAUAAGCUGUACUCAGCAGACCUAUGGAAAUCAACAGACUAGGGAUCAUUAAUUUCAAUGGGUCUACUCUGACAUCAUUGGAACACCAUCCAUCGUUUAUAGUGGCUAAGUUAUGAUCAGCCUAUUUGGGUCACUUCAAUGGAGCAACAAAAGCGCAAUUAU